rnacentral:rRNA from 1 species
AUUGAACGCUGGCGGAAUGCUUUACACAUGCAAGUCGAGCGGCGAGCGCGGGGGCAACCCUGGCGGCGAGCGGCGAACGGGUGAGUAAUACAUCGGAACGUGUCCUUAAGUGGGGGAUAGCUCGGCGAAAGCCGGAUUAAUACCGCAUAAGCUCUGAGGAGGAAAGCGGGGGCUCCGUAAGGACCUCGCGCUGUUGGAGCGGCCGAUGUCGGAUUAGCUAGUUGGUGGGGUAAAGGCCCACCAAGGCGACGAUCCGUAGCCUGGUCUGAGAGGAUGAUCAGGCCACACUGGAACUGAGACACGGUCCAGACUCCUACGGGAGGCAGCAGUGGGGAAUUUUGGAC